rnacentral:rRNA from 1 species
CCUACGGGAGGCUGCAGUGGGGAAUAUUGGACAAUGGGGGGAACCCUGAUCCAGCCAUGCCGCGUGUGUGAAGAAGGCCCUCGGGUUGUAAAGCACUUUCAGUGAGGAAGAACGCCUGGUGGUUAAUACCCAUCAGGAAAGACAUCACUCACAGAAGAAGCACCGGCUAACUCCGUGCCAGCAGCCGCGGUAAUACGGAGGGUGCGAGCGUUAAUCGGAAUUACUGGGCGUAAAGCGCGCGUAGGUGGCUUGAUAAGCAGGUUGUGAAAGCCCCGGGCUCAACCUGGGAACGGCAUCCGGAACUGUCAAGCUAGAGUGCAGGAGAGGAAGGUAGAAUUCCCGGUGUAGCGGUGAAAUGCGUAGAGAUCGGGAGGAAUACCAGUGGCGAAGGCGGCCUUCUGGACUGACACUGACACUGAGGUGCGAAAGCGUGGGUAGCAAACAGGAUUAGAUACCCUAGUAGUC